rnacentral:rRNA from 1 species
GACGAACGCUGGCGGCGUGCUUAACACAUGCAAGUCGAGCGGUAAGGCCCUUUCGGGGGUACACGAGCGGCGAACGGGUGAGUAACACGUGGGUGACCUGCCCUCAGCUCUGGGAUAAGCCUGGGAAACCGGGUCUAAUACUGGAUAUGACUCCAUGACGCAUGUUGUGGGGUGGAAAGCCUUGUGCGGCUGAGGAUGGGCCCGCGGCCUAUCAGCUUGUUGGUGGGGUGANGGCCUACCAAGGCGACGACGGGUAGCCGGCCUGAGAGGGCGACCGGCCACACUGGGACUGAGACACGGCCCAGACUCCUACGGGAGGCAGCAGUGGGGAAUCUUAGACAAUGGGCGCAAGCCUGAUCCAGCCAUGCCGCGUGGGUGAAGAAGGCCUGG